GAUGAACGCUGGCGGCACGCUUAACACAUGCAAGUCGAGCGAGAACCGGUCCUUCGGGACUGGGGACAGCGGCGAACGGGUGAGUAACACGUGAGUAAUCCACCCUCGGUACCGGGAUAGCCCGGGGAAACCCGGAUUAAUACCGGAUGGCCCAUUUAUCCUUCGGGAUUUAAUGGAAAAGGUAGCUUAGGCCUCCGACCGAGGACGAGCUCGCGGCGGAUUAGCUUGUUGGCGGGGUAACGGCCCACCAAGGCGACGAUCCGUAGCUGGUCUGAGAGGACGAUCAGCCACACUGGGACUGAGACACGGCCCAGACUCCUAUGGGAGGCAGCAGUGGGGAAUCUUGCGCAAUGGGCGAAAGCCUGACGCAGCGAUGCCGCGUGAGGGAAGAAGGCCUUCGGGUUGUAAACCUCUUUCAGGAGGGACGAAGCCACUCGGGUGAAUAGCCCAGAGGGUGACGGUACCUCCAGAAGAAGCCCCGGCUAACUACGUGCCAGCCGCCGCGGUAA
rnacentral:rRNA from 1 species